GACAGAGGGGGCAAGCGUUGCUCGGAAUCACUGGGCGUAAAGGGCGCGUAGGCGGGAUGGCAAGUCGGUCGUGAAAUCCUUCGGCUCAACCGAAGAACGUCGGCCGAUACUGCCGUUCUUGAGGGAUGCGGAGGAGAUUGGAAUUCCCGGUGUAGCGGUGAAAUGUGUAGAGAUCGGGAGGAACACCGGUGGCGAAGGCGGGUCUCUGGGCCACUACUGACGCUGAGAAGCGAAAGCACGGGGAGCGAACAGG
rnacentral:rRNA from 1 species